GUGGACAACCUACCCUAAGGAGGGGGAUAACCCCGGAAAACUGGGGAUAAUACCCCAUAGAUUAUAGAAGCUGGAAUGCUCUGUAGUCGAAAGGUCCGCCGCCUUAAGAUGGGUCUGCGGCCGAUUAGGUUGUUGUUGGGGUAAAGGCCCAACAAGCCGUUGAUCGGUACGGGUUGUGAGAGCAAGAGCCCGGAGAUGGAUUCUGAGACACGAAUCCAGGCCCUACGGGGCGCAGCAGGCGCGAAAACUUUACAAUGCGGGAAACCGUGAUAAGGGAACCCCGAGUGCCCGUAAAAUCGGGCUGUCCAUCAGUGUAAAUAACUGGUGAAGAAAGGGCCGGGCAAGACCGGUGCCAGCCGCCGCGGCAAUACCGGCGGCUCGAGUGGUGGCCACUAUUAUUGGGCUUAAAGCGUCCGUAGCUUGAUUGUUAAGUCUCUUGGGAAAUCUACCGGCUCAACCGAUAGGCGUUCAAGGGAUACUGGCAAUCUAGGGACCGGGAGAGGUGAGAGGUACUCCAGGGGUAGGAGUGAAAUCCUGUAAUCCUUGGGGGACCACCUG
rnacentral:rRNA from 1 species